UCAUUUGUUUUUUUCCUUCUGUUUUUUUCUGUUUGCGUCACUCAUUUUACAAAAUGGAAAACUUAAAGUAUCGCAUUAUUUACGAGUACGAGUUCCGCCGUGGCACUAGUGCUGCGGAAACGACUCGAAGGGUGAAUGAUGUGUAUGGCGGUCAUGUUGCAAAAGAAAACACAGUUCGUUUUUGGUUCCAACAUUUUCGUUCUGGAAAUUUCGACCUGCAGAACAAGCCCCGUGGACGGCCUGAGACCCAAGUUGAUAAUGAAGUAUUGAAGGCUAUUGUGGAAGCGGAUCCAUCGCAAACCACGUCCGACUAGUGCCGGUAUUGUUCAUUGCAGUUUUCUCAAAUCUGGCCAGACUAUUACGGCUGAUGUCUAUUGUCAGCAAUUGCAAACCAUGAUGGAAAAGCUAGCGGCUAAACAACCUAGGCUGGUCAAUCGCUCCACGCCACUGCUACUUCACGACAACGCUAGACCACACACUGCACAACAGA